AAAACAUGGAAAAAUUGAAUAUGGUGAAUACUUUCUGGAUGCACUGUGUGUUUCUCAGUCGAUCCCAUAAGAACAAAUGCACAUGUAUGCCAGUAGGACCUCCUUCCUUAAGGUCAGCUGUAUGUGAUGUUGAACACUCAUUGAAUACAUGACAUCAUGCAAGCUAUUUAAUUUACAGUCUGUGAUGUAUUUUCAAUAGAAACAUAAGUGACAAAGUAUUCAAAUGUCACAAACGUUAUUGGACAAGGAAACUAUAAGGAUUGUUAAUUCAAAUAAUCACUUUUGGAGCCAGUUUUCUUUGGACAACUUGGGAUGUAUACAUCAGACGCAUACAGUAUGUAUCACGACACUCUGGUCCCGAUUUGAUAUGUAUUGUGAUUCUUAAGAAGUACAGUUCCACAGGUAUUGCAGUUCACUGUCACAAUGUAUUGUGCUGUUUUGCUUUCAGCAGGAAGGAUUUUCUUAAAAAGAUGUGAAAUUUUUACUUUUUCCAAAGGAAUGUGGGAUGCUUAAGACUAGACUCGAUUUCUUUCAUGAAAGUCCUUAUGUCUUGGUGGCUUAGGUUUUUCAGAACUGCCCACUCCAGACAGGUUGAACCUGGAAUAGCAUGUUGGUUGUUUUUGUUAAUGAUUGACAUA